GGGAAGGUGGCUCAGUGGUGGAAUGCUUGCCUUGCAUGCAUGAGGCCCUGGGUUCGAUUCCUCAGCAUCCCA
rnacentral:tRNA from 1 species